rnacentral:lncRNA from 1 species
AUCCUCCUGCCUUGGCCUUGAAAAGUGCUGGGACUACAGGCGUGAGCCAUGGUACCCAGCCAAACUCAUCCUUUUAAUCAGGAACCAACUCAGGUGAUAACUAACCAUUCCCUCAAUAACGGCAUUAAUCUACUCAUGAGGGCAGAGCUCUCAUGAUCUAAUCACCUCUCUAGAGGCUCCACCCUUAAUGCUGUUACAAUGGCACUUAUAUCUCAACAUGAGUUUUGGAGGGACGUUCAAACCACAGCAGCUUUUCAGAUGGUUCUGUCUCCAUAUUCAUGACACGUCGUGUAACAUUGCAUUUUAGCAAUGAAGAUCAUUCCUCCGGUGGUUGCAUUUUUUUCCCCAGAGACAGCCAGCUAGGCCAACUUAUCACAGUUUACCUGGGACUUUCCUGGUUUUAGCACUAAAAGUCCCACCUGGGCAACCUCUGGCAAGCUGCGACAGUUGAUCACCCUAGAGCCAGUGGUGGUGAACCCCCUACUGGACUGUUGGUCAAAGAUUAGGCACAGGUAGGUCUAAGUUCAGAUAAUGAAACCGAUCAGGAGAGAUUUCUGGGAUCAUUUAUCCCAUACAGGGGCUGGGAUCAUUUAACCCAGAGCAGAGAAAGCUGAGGUGGGGAUGGGAGGGGGCUAUUUUGGUAACAACCUUCACGUGUGUUUGCUGAGUGUACUUGAAUGUGUGUCCAGCUGCGGUCCAUCUCCACCCGAAAUCAGAGCCAGAGGAAAUGGAUGGGAGUGGAGUCUGAAUUUACUCACAAAGUUGAAUUUCCUGCCAUUAAACCUUAUGAUGAGCAAGAAAAAAGUGGUUUGAUUAUAGUCUCCUUAAGGAACCAAUGAAGCUUCCCCACAGCGUGAUGGAGAGGAAAGGU